UACGAAGGGGGCUAGCGUUGCUCGGAAUCACUGGGCGUAAAGCGCACGUAGGCGGCUUGGCAUGUCGGGUGUGAAAUCCCCGGGCUCAACCUGGGAACUGCAUCCGAAACUGCCUUGCUCGAGUAUGGGAGAGGGAAGUGGAAUUUCCGGUGUAGCGGUGAAAUGCGUAGAUAUCGGAAGGAACAUCAGUGGCGAAGGCGACUUCCUGGACCAAUACUGACGCUCAGGUGCGAAAGCGUGGGGAGCAAACAGG
rnacentral:rRNA from 1 species